CCAGGCUACACACGUACUAACAAGUCGGGCCGGUACAAAGGGCAGCGACAUUGCGAGAUGGAGCGAAUCCCGAAAAGCCGGUCUCAGUCCGGAUUGGAGUCUGCAACUCGACUCCAUGAAGUUGGAAUCGCUAGUAAUCGUGGAUCAGCAUGCCACGGUGAAUACGUUCCCGGGCCUU
rnacentral:rRNA from 1 species